AUUGAACGCUGGCGGCGUGCCUAACACAUGCAAGUCGAGCGGUAACAGGUGUGGCAAUACAUGCUGACGAGCGGCGGACGGGUGAGUAAUGUUUGGGAAUCUGCCUAUUAGUGGGGGACAACCCGGGGAAACUCGGGCUAAUACCGCAUACGCUCUACGGAGGAAAGCCGGGGACCGCAAGGCCUGGCGCUAGUAGAUGAGCCCAAAUUGGAUUAGCUAGUUGGUGAGGUAACGGCUCACCAAGGCGACGAUCCAUAACUGGUUUGGGAGAACGACCAGUCAGACCGGAGCUGAGACGCGCGCCGGAAUCCUACGGGAGGCGGCAGUGGGGAAGAUUGGACAAUGGGCGAAAGCCUGAGCCAGCGACGCCGCGUGGGUGAAGAAGGCCUGCGGGUUGUAAGGCCCUUUCGGUGGGGAUAAAAAGCCUUGGUUUAACACACCAGGGUCUUGAUCUAACCCAAGAAGGAAGCACCGGCUAACUCUGUGCCAGCAGCCGCCGUAA
rnacentral:rRNA from 1 species